ensembl:rRNA 5S_rRNA 5S ribosomal RNA
GUCUACAGCCAUACCACCCUGAACGCGCCCGAUCUCGUCUGAUCUCGGAAGCUAAGCAGGGUCGGGCCUGGUUAGUACUUGGAUGGGAGACUUUCACUGCCCUAUCAAAUUCCAAGGUACAAACG